GUAAGCAGAGGUUGGCACACAUGUGCACAUGUGCAUGCAUGUGUGUGUACGUUCUAACCUGCCUUCUUAGAGACAAGUGCUGAUGUGCCACCCAGGUUGGAGUGCAAUGGUGUGAUCUCAGC